ACUCNUANGGGAGGCAGCAGUGGGGAAUAUUGCACAAUGGGCGCAAGCCUGAUGCAGCGACGCCGCGUGAGGGAUGACGGCCUUCGGGUUGUAAACCUCUUUCAGUACCGACGAAGCGCAAGG
rnacentral:rRNA from 1 species